rnacentral:ncRNA from 1 species
CAAAAAUGGCAAAUCUGCCGAAAGGCAGAGACGCAAAGCUAAGGUGUCUAAACGAUUUGUUCGCAUGAUUGACCGGCUGC